UGCCUUCUCGUGUUGCCCGUUUGCUGUCUCCUACAGCGAAUGCGGUGUCGAUAAAGGCAAACAUCAAUGUUUUGGAUUGGCCUAAGCAAGGUUCUACCCCAGUAGCCUUGUCUUAAGUUCUAUACCAAGAACACUU
rnacentral:snoRNA from 13 species